GAUUGUUGGAUCUGCCACGUCAAUUAAUGAGGCAUGAUCCAACGCUCAGUGUUUUUUUUUUUUCUGAUUUUUAUUUUUUUUCUCUUUUCAUUUUAAAUUUCUUUUUUCUUUAAAAAUUUAUACUAACUUCAUUUUUCAUCCAAAAAAUCCCAAAAUAAUUUCUAAAAUUUUCUUUUCUUUUUCUUCAUCUGAUUUUCAUUUUUCCACAUUUUAUUUUCUUGAUCUUCUAUUUUUCUUGAAUUUAUAUUUUCUCCUUUGUUUU
rnacentral:lncRNA from 1 species